AGAUGAGCAUGAUGUUGUUUGGUUCUGGCUUGAGAAGAGCAAGCCACAUGAAUGCCCAGUAUGCUCACAGUAUUUUGAAUUGGAAGUGGUUGGACCUGGAGGACCUCCUGAUGGACAUGGCAGCGAUGAUGAGGGUCAUCACUAAGUCUCUUGCAAUUUUUGCCGGAAUAAAUUUGGUUUAAGACGAUAUGACUCAAAGAUCUGUGUUCUUUCUUUGCCUUUACUGGAUUAUUGUUCUUAUUGUUGCUGCUGUGGCAGCUGUGAAGUUGAAUAUUUUUUGCAUUAAUAUUUUAUACACUAGACUUGGCUUGGUCUACUGGAAAUAUAGACUGAGUUUCUUCAAAUGCACAGUCAAUAAUCAAUGGCUACAGAUUAAAUCUGUUGUAAUGGUUCUUUUUGUGUUUAGUCGAAGUGCUCACGCUGAAGUUCCUCGCA